rnacentral:rRNA from 1 species
AACGUAGGGGGCGAGCGUUAUCCGGAAUCACUGGGCGUAAAGGGCGUCUAGGCGGUCCAGUAAGUCCUGCGUGAAAGCUCCCGGCUCAACUGGGAGAGCGCGUGGGAGACUGUCGGGCUAGAGACUCGGAGAGGGGUGUGGAAUUCCCGGUGGAGUGGUGAAAUGCGUUGAGAUCGGGAGGAACACCAGUGGCGAAGGCGGCACCCUGGCCGAGUUCUGACGCUGAAGCGCGACAGCGUGGGGAGCAAACGGG